rnacentral:rRNA from 1 species
AAAAGCUCGUAGUUGGAUCAAGAGUCGGACAGUGCACGGUGGCCCUGUUUGCUUGCUUUGGCUCCGGUCAGGGUGGCGGCAGCGGAACUACCCCGUGCAUCAAACUGUCCGCUCUAACAGGCCGAAGCGGUUCCCUGUGAGUAGACUCCUUAAUUGGGGUUGAAAGCGCCUACGCAUCAACCACAUGCAUACGGGACGUCGGCCAAUGUUACUGUGAACAAACCAGCGUGUCCAAAGCAGGCUUGCCUGAAUGUUCGAGCAUGGAAUAAUAAGGGAUCGAUUCUCUCGGUUCUUUUUGUUGGUUUUUAACCCGAGAAGGAGUAAUGCAGGCCACGGUGUCUGAGGUGGGAUUCCCUAGGCUUCGGUUUAGGCCCCAUCUAGGCCGUGUCCUUACGGGAUCAAUAGGGACUGACGGGGUCGUACCUACUUCCGCGUCAGAGGUGAAAUUCUUAGAUCGCGGGAAGAGGAACUUCUGCGAAAGCAUUCGACAAGAAUGUCUUCAUUAAUCAAGAACGAGAGUGUGGGGAUCGAAGAUGAUCAGAUACCGUCGUAGUCCACACUGUAAACAAUGCCGUCUCAGGAUUGAGAAGUGAACAUAAUGACUUUCACAGCACUAACCCCUGAAACGAGAAAUCAAAGAUUAUGGGUUCAGGGGGG